rnacentral:rRNA from 1 species
CGGCGGACGGGUGAGUAACACGUAGGCAACCUGCCUGUAAGACUGGGAUAACUCGCGGAAACGCGAGCUAAUACCGGAUAAUACUUAUUAUCUCCUGAUGGUAAGUUGAAAGGCGGCUUUUGCUGUCACUUACAGAUGGGCCUGCGGCGCAUUAGCUAGUUGGUGGGGUAAUGGCUCACCAAGGCGACGAUGCGUAGCCGACCUGAGAGGGUGAUCGGCCACACUGGGACUGAGACACGGCCCAGACUCCUACGGGAGGCAGCAGUAGGGAAUCUUCCGCAAUGGACGAAAGUCUGACGGAGCAACGCCGCGUGAGUGAUGAAGGUUUUCGGAUCGUAAAACUCUGUUGUCGGGGAAGAACAAGUAUGAUAGUAACUGAUCGUACCUUGACGGUACCCGACCAGAAAGCCACGGCUAACUACGUGCCAGC